GUGGAUUAAAGGUGGCAUUCGGGCUGUCGCAGAUGGAUGAGCCUGCGUUGGAUUAGCUAGAUGGUGGGGUAAGGGCCCACCAAGGCUACGAACCAUAGCUGAUUUGAGAGGAUGAUCAGCCACAUUGGGACUGAGACACGGCCCAAACUCCUACGGGAGGCAGCAGAGGGGAAUAUUGGAAAAUGGGGGCAACCCUGAUCCAGCAAUGCCAUUUGUGUGAAGAAGGCCCU
rnacentral:rRNA from 1 species